rnacentral:lncRNA from 1 species
UCAAUUACAAUUUCAUGAAGGUAUCAUCACAGAAAAUCAAUUCCAAUUAACAUGAAUUAUUCUAGCAUCCUAGUAGGAAACUAACUUCAUAUGAAGAGAACCAAACUCGUUUAAUCCCUAUCAUGACAGUUCACGAUCUAUAAACUAUAGUUAACAUCAUAUGGCACAGUCCAAUUUCAAGUCACAUUUAAUUACACUAGACAAUUAACUAAAUCACACACAAAAUUACUCAAACGUAACAGAAGGCAAUCUAUAGAGCAAAUUGCAGCUUCAUUUCAUUUCCAUCAGGAGAGUUACAUCGAAACAGACUGCAAGUAUGUACCUGGAUUCAAGAUUAUAAUGAAGAAAAGUUAGAGUCAGCAGAAGCAGGAUAUAUAAACAGCAGCAAUUGAUAUGCACCAUCCCAGAAAAACAUAAUCACGACCCAACGUAAGUUUGAAAAUCAACAGCAAUAGCAAAUACCCAAAUCAAUGGACUCAAUUGAACUUGAAUACACCCAAAAUAGAAGUUGUAAGCCACAGAACAACUCCAGCACACAUCCAGGUGACCAAAAACAACUCAGAGAACCCAAAGCUAACCCAAAUUAAACUCAGCAAAUGCGAAACCCACUUGAAAAUCAUCAAACUACGUCAACAAACUCAGAUUCAACUAAAACUAUAAGAUGUGAAGGUGUUAGCUGGAAAUCAGAAUCAAAUCUACAAUUGCCCAAUGAAGCAGUAACUUUUUUUUUUUGGAAUUUUUGAGUUUUUCUUAUGUUUUUUUUUUUUGGUUUUUGAAGUUUUGAAUUUCCACUUCAGAUCUGAAAAUCAAAGAGAGAGAGUUUUGGGGGGAAUUUGGAGCUGAAAAACCCUUUUUCCUCAAGGAAAUUCC